GUGCUCGCCUCGGCAGCACAUAUACUAAAAUUGGAACCAUACAGAGAAGAUUAGCAUGGCCCUUGUGCAAGGAUGAUACAGAAAUUCGUGAAACAUUCCAUAUUUUU